rnacentral:snoRNA from 1 species
ACCCUCCAGGGUCCUUACCUCUCAGAUCGAAAUAAUGGUCUGAGGGGCAGACAGGAGGAGCAAAAGUAAAACUGAGGUGGACCUAGAAUCUUUAGGGACAUUGAAAAAAAAA